rnacentral:tRNA from 1 species
GGUUCCGUAGUGUAGCGGUUAUCACGUCGCCCUGUCACGGCGAAGAUCGCGGGUUCGAUUCCCGUCGGGACCG